UCUUGAGCGCAGGAAAAGAAACUAACAAGGAUUCCCCUAGUAACGGCGAGUGAAGCGGGAAGAGCUCAAAUUUGUAAUCUGGCGGCCUUUGGCCGUCCGAGUUGUAGUCUCGAGAAGCGUCUUCUGCGUCGGACCGUGUACAAGUCCCUUGGAACAGGGCGUCGUAGAGGGUGAGAAUCCCGUCUUUGACACGGACUGCCGGUGCUCUGUGAUGCGCUCUCAAAGAGUCGAGUUGUUUGGGAAUGCAGCUCAAAACGGGUGGUAAAUUCCAUCUAAAGCUAAAUAUUGGCGAAAGACCGAUAGCGAACAAGUACCGUGAGGGAAAGAUGAAAAGCACUUUGGAAAGAGAGUUAAACAGUACGUGAAAUUGCUGAAAGGGAAACGCUUGAAGUCAGUCGCGUCUCCCGGGAUUCAGCCGUGCCCCUGUCGGGGCGCGGUGUACUUCCUGGCUGUGACGGGCCAGCAUCGAUUUUGGCCGUCGGAGAAAGGCCUUGGGAAUGUGGCACCUUCGGGUGUGUUAUAGCCCCUGGGUCGCAUGCGACGGUCGGGAUCGAGGACCGCAGCACGUUUUUCCUUCCUUCGCGGGAAAGGGGCUCGGGGUUCGCCCACCCAAACGUUGCUUAAGAUGCUUGGCGUAAUGCUUUUAACCACCCGUUUU
rnacentral:rRNA from 1 species